ACACACACAGAGGAAAACACACAAACAGGUUCACACACACCUGGAGGAAAACACCUGAACAGGUUCACACACACCUAGAGGAUUAAACCCAAACUGUACCAGACUCCUAAAUAAAGGAUUUAUGGAUCCCUAAUGUGAUUUUACCAGACAUGAAUUGAAACAUCUGGAAAGAAGGAAAGAAAGGGAGAAAAAGAAG